rnacentral:piRNA from 1 species
UGGCUGUUCAUCACCAAAGGAAGUCAGGU